AAUAGAUACCCUGGUAGUCCACGCCGUAAACGAUGAGUGCUAAGUGUUAGGGGGUUUCCGCCCCUUAGUGCUGCAGCUAACGCAUUAAGCACUCCGCCUGGGGAGUACGGUCGCAAGACUGAAACUCAAAGGAAUUGACGGGGGCCCGCACAAGCGGUGGAGCAUGUGGUUUAAUUCGAAGCAACGCGAAGAACCUUACCAGGUCUUGACAUCCUCUGACAAUCCUAGAGAUAGGACGUCCCCCUUCGGGGGCAGAGUGACAGGUGGUGCAUGGUUGUCGUCAGCUCGUGUCGUGAGAUGUUGGGUUAAGUCCCGCAACGAGCGCAACCCUUGAUCUUAGUUGCCAGCAUUCAGUUGGGCACUCUAAGGUGACUGCCGGUGACAAACCGGAGGAAGGUGGGGAUGACGUCAAAUCAUCAUGCCCCUUAUGACCUGGGCUACACACGUGCUACAAUGGACAGAACAAAGGGCAGCGAAACCGCGAGGUUAAGCCAAUCCCACAAAUCUGUUCUCAGUUCGGAUCGC
rnacentral:rRNA from 1 species